GAAAGGACGUUUUCUUGUGUUUAUUUAUUUUUGUCGAUACGACAUAGGAUAAUUCUUUUGCGAUUUCGCGAGUUUUUUGGCUGUCUGCGGUGAUUUUACUUUGAAGGAAGGUUGUUCUCGUUGAGUGAUAUGUGUUACGAAUCGAUGGAUGAACUUUAUGACAAUGCACUGAAGAACAACUGAAGCUCCUCGAUCUGGUGACAGGAUUUCGAUUCCUGCAUCUAUGAAUCGGGCCGUAUGUUCACUGGCGGGUUCAACUGGAAUCUCGACUGUCGGAAUUAAAAUCUUCAUGCGAAGUGAUGUCCGGAAAAACUCUCACGAAAAUAGUAUUUACUGACAUUACCAAAUAGUAACUAGGACUGUUGAAGAACAGCAAAGACGAUUACGCAAGAAGCAAAAUACGAAGUCAAACCACUUUGAUCAGUCCUAUUGACCGCUACAGGGAGGAAAGGAAGGACUAAAAAUGUUCAGUGCCAGUAUCCUUGAACAAAUUCUAGACACCGAUCCUCACGAAUACCUCCUAGAUCGAACUUGUGUCAAAUUCGAGUCUUACGAGAAAGAGUGUCACCACAGCUGC